GAACUUGAGAGUUUGAUCCUGGCUCAGAACGAACGCUGGCGGCAGGUCUUAGGCAUGCAAGUCGAACGGAUGACAG
rnacentral:rRNA from 1 species